rnacentral:lncRNA from 1 species
GGAAAAACAGUGGGGUUAUGGGGGGGGGGCGCUGCCCCACGGGGCCCCAAAACUCACCCAGCAGCCGGCCCGUGCAGAGCACAGCCCCUCAAUAACACCCCACGGCCCCCACGAGGACACCGAGGCCCUGCGGAGGGAGAAACCCCAACGGCACCACAAGGGUCAGUGCCGGGGGGCCCCGAGCAGCCCCCCCGCUCCUUGGCCCUGGGGAAGGAGCGAGGAGCAAGAGGGACCCGAAGUGCCCGUGGGGGGGAGGAGGGGAGCCCCCCGACCUCCUGCUGGGGGCUGUAGGGCCUGCUGUGGGUGCACAGGGCUUGCAGUGGGGUGUGCAGGGGCAGCUCAGGGGGCUGUAGGGCCUGCUAUGGGGUUUUUUAGGGCCUGCCAUGGGUGCAGGGGGGCAGCUGGGGGGUUCAUGGAGCAGUGGCUCUGCCCUGGGAGGCGCAGAGGGCACUGGGGGCACGGGAUGGGGCCAGGGCCACAGACCCAGGCCGAAAUUCACGGCACGGAGCGGCUCCGCCACCGCAACCCAUGGCCACGGCUCGGCCCCGGGAACGGGAACGGGAGGAGGAGGAGGAGGAGGAGGAGGGACGCAGGAGCUGUGCCGGGCACCAGGAGGAAGGGCAGCCUGGAAAACGAAGCCCUGAGCGAGCUCCGAAGGGCUGAGCUGAGCCCAACCGGCUCCAGAAGCACCCAGGAGGGACGGAGCAGAGCCAGGGGCUGCUCUGUGCCCAAAUCCCCACCGUUUUCCCCUAAAAGCACCCCCAGGGGGGCAGCGCCGGGAGGAACCGGGCAGGGCAGAGCUGCUCCUGCUCCCCCAGCAAUUCCCAACCUCCCCUCGCAGGGGGAGCCACCCAAAUCCUCCCGGCCCCGUCUGGCCCCGGGCACGGCACCGAGGGGGCUGGGGGCAGGGGGGCAGAGCUCUGGGAGCAGCUCUGUGGGGUCUUUACCUCCUCCAGCUGGGCUCCGGCGGGGGCGACAGGUAGGUGGGGCCAUAGGGCGAGCUGUCGAUGUGGGGGGUGCGUUAAGGAGCCAACGGGGGCAGCCGAGGGGGCGCAGCAGCGGCGGGGGGGGGGCCGGGGGGGGGGGGGGGCCCCCAGGGGGCGGGGGGGGGGGGGGGGGGGGGUCACGAGGAACCGUCCCCUCGUCCCUCGGUGCCCCGUGCACUCACCUGGAAGUCGGAGACGCCGCUGCCGAUCUGGUUGACGUUGGGCAGCGAGCCGCUGUAGUAGGGGCCCCGGCUGUGCGCCAGCCUCAGCUUCU